ensembl:misc_RNA predicted gene, 28008
AAAAACUUGAAUUUUUUGGUGGGUGUUACAAAUCUAAUUCGAUGAUAGAUGAAAGCAUAGCUUUCUAAUUCAUUUCAGCUUUAGUUUAGCAGACCCCUCAGAUACCCUCAUUUCCUUUACUUUGGGAAAUAUCCCCCUUACACAUUAA